rnacentral:rRNA from 1 species
CGAGAAAGCCCGCAAGGGUGAGUAAAGCGGCGCACGGGUGCGUAACACGUGGGUAAUCUACCUUGGAGUCCGGAAUAACUCCCCGAAAGGGGUGCUAAUACCGGAUGAGACCACGGGGGCUUCGGCCUCUGCGGGAAAAGGCGGCCUCUGUAUACAAGCUGUCACUCCAAGAUGAGCCCGCGGCCCAUCAGCUCGUUGGCGGGGUAAUGGCCCACCAAGGCUACGACGGGUAGCUGGUCUGAGAGGACGAUCAGCCACACUGGAACUGAGACACGGUCCAGACUCCUACGGGAGGCAGCAGUGGGGAAUCUUGCGCAAUGGGCGAAAGCCUGACGCAGCAACGCCGCGUGUGUGAUGAAGGUCUUCGGAUCGUAAAGCACUGUCGCGAGGGACG